GGCGAACGCUAGCGGUACGCCUAACACAUGCAAGUCGAGCGGGAUUUUUUUAGAAGCUUGCUUCUGAAAAACAAGAGCGGCAAACGGGUGAGUAACACGUUGGUACUUGCCCCUUGGUCAGGGAUAGCCCAUCGAAAGAUGGAUUAAUACCGGAUAGUCUCUUCGGAGUGAAGAUUUAUCGCCAAGGGAGAGGCCUGCGUUCUAUCAGCUAGUUGGUGAGGUAAUGGCUUACCAAGGCUAUGACGGAUAACUGGUCUGAGAGGAUGAUCAGUCACAAUGGAACUGAGACACGGUCCAUACUCCUACGGGAGGCAGCAGUGAGGAAUAUUCCACAAUGGGCGAAAGCCUGAUGGAGCGAUACCGCGUGAAGGAUGAAGGUCUAACGAUUGUAAACUUCUUUUCUGAGGGAGCAUAAUGAUAGUACCUCAGGAAUAAGGGACGGCUAAUUACGUGCCAGCAGCCGCGGUAAUACGUAAGUCCCAAGCGUUGCCCGGAA
rnacentral:rRNA from 1 species